rnacentral:tRNA from 1 species
GGAGGUGUGCCCGAGCGGCCGAAGGGAACGGUCUUGAAAACCGUCGAGGCAGCGAUGUCUCCGUGGGUUCAAAUCCCACCGCCUCCGC